AAGUAAAAAACAAAACAAAAACACCACAUGGGCACAUCGAAAACAACAUAGCGGAAAACAGCUGUCAUCGGAAGCUCAGCGAAAAGCGGAAACAUUGCAUCCGGUGAACACACACACCUUAUCCGCAAACAGUGAGUCGGCAGGCAAAAGUUGUUCGGUCUAGCCACACUCCGAAGUGACCGAAGUUGAAGAUUUCACCUGCACGAGAAACGGCGCAGGGAAAUUCAUCGUCGUCGUGCGGAUAACGGGACGACAGGUGCCAACAUUUGCUUGAACGCCGAAACACGGAGUCCGGGAGAGCUUUAAUUGCCGAGAAUUUGGAACUGCAGCGGCCAGCACGCUCAUUCACUUGGUUUUGCGCCAAAGAUUGCUCGCUAAUCAUUCCGUGACCACGCGCGUUGUCUCGCCAUAACAUAGAGGUUGAGCGUUCAGAGGUGUACGGACGAUUCUCCGGUGGUUCUCUACUCGGCGCGCACGAGUCGCUAGCGUGAUUCCGUAAAACGUUGAUAGGCUGAUCAGCUCACGUCUGGCACCACACCAACAGGCAGCUUUGGCACUACACCACAGGUAGCACCGAGAAGAAAAGCCUUCGGAAAGAAGGCUUUUCUUUUUCUACUUGAUUUUGAUUUCCAGUUCCCGGUGCAAUCUAGAGGAGCGGUAUCCCUAUCACGAUCCCGAUACGCGACUGGGACGACAACAUCGGGACUGUUCCAAGGGAGUGCUUCGCAGAUUACCAGAGGUGGGUGCAUUGAUACCCAGUGGGGGCUGCUGUUGGGGAGACACGUGGAUCAGACGAGUAACGGGCACGGCUGUCGACACAACAUCCAAGGGUGCUGAUUGCAUCGCUCGAGUAUCGUCGUGAGGCAGGUAGGCUCGAGCGCAGUCGGAAACCGAUGGCUGUCUUCUGGUCAGCGUACGUUGGACGUGAGUACCCUGUGCAUGGGCCGAAGGCCACGAAGAAGAAUUAGAAGAGUAGCAGCGGAAAGAAAAAAGAAGAAUGCAUGCAGGUGAUAAAGAAUAGGAGAGUACACAGAAAAAAAUAAAAUUGUACCUUUAAAAAUUAUGCACUUUUAAU